rnacentral:rRNA from 1 species
GAUGAACGCUGGCGGCGUGCCUAACACAUGCAAGUCGAACGGAACUCAUUCAGACGGAGGCUUCGGCCAAAGUAGGGUUGAGUUUAGUGGCGAACGGGUGAGUAACGCGUGAGCAACCUGCCCUUCAGAGGGGGACAACAGCUGGAAACGGCUGCUAAUACCGCAUAUUGCACAAUGACCGCAUGGUCGAUGUGUGAAAGAUUUAUCGCUGAAGGAUGGGCUCGCGUCUGAUUAGCUAGUUGGUGGGGUAACGGCUCACCAAGGCUGCGAUCAGUAGCCGGACUGAGAGGUCGAUCGGCCACAUUGGGACUGAGAUACGGCCCAGACUCCUACGGGAGGCAGCAGUGGGGAAUAUUGGGCAAUGGGGGCAACCCUGACCCAGCAACGCCGCGUGAAGGAAGAAGGCUUUCGGGUUGUAAACUUCUUUGACCAGGGAAGAAAGAAAUGACGGUACCUGGAAAACAAGCCACGGCUAACUACGUGCCAGCCGCCGCAGUAAA